CCUUGAGGUCCCUUCCAAGCCAGGCCAUUCUGUGAUUCAUUGAUGCUAUUUUGUUUUGCGUGAGAACAUCAGAGUACUCCCUGGUGAAGUCAAAGGAGAGCAUUUCUCAAGAUCAAAACAUGAAACCAUUAAAUUGGAAGCAGUUCUUGUUUUAACCUCUUACUUACUGACCAGUAAAUUAGUUUUGACCAAGUAAUAUCUUCUCUGGAGAUCUGAACAUAGUUGGAUGCUGCAUUUUGUUGAUCUAAAUGCAUCUGCUGCCAAGACUAUUUGAAGUAGUUUAUCCUCAUGAAAGUACGUUGGCAUAGUGAACAUUUAGAUCCAUGUAAUUUGUACUGCUACAAUUCUUUUAUCCAAUGUAUUAAUAAUGAUUUCAGCUGAAACAUAGUCUGUGAGAACUGUAUAAUACUCUGUUUUAAAUGAAAAUCUUAUCCUUGCUAACAAUUUGUUUUUUUCUUUACCUUUAAUCAUACAUACAAAAAGACGGGACUGUAUUCAUUCACCAUUUUCAAUUUCUAAGUAUUCAGUUAUACCUUUUUUCAUUGUUUGGCUGCUUUGCAGCUGUAGGCAGAAAUAAACCUUUGUGUUGGGAAUGGUUAAUUGGUGAACUUUAUUGGGUAGGCCGGCAGAAUUGCUUUGCCAUAAAUAAUUUCAAUCACUUUAAUGGCAACUUUGCAAUCACGAGGAAGCCAAGAACAAAUAACAUACAUUUGAUGGCAUAGAUCUUCCCUGAAAUAAAUGUACUUUCUCCUCUUCAUUAAGGAAGAAAUGGAUUAUAAAGUGAGUUAAUGAAAAAGACCUUCCUACAGUCUCAGUCUACUUUGCUGGGAAGCCCUGCUGUUUCAAUGAGAUGUUAAACCUAGUUCACUUCUACCCAUCAGUAACAUCUAUGUACAAAAUGUCUCUGUUCUCAUAAGAUCAUUUUUUUUUCCAAUUGAAUGGCCUGCUAGUAUCCAGACAAUGCAAAUUGUUUAUGAGCAUUAUGGGCAAAAUCCAACUCAUGAAAAUAAUCCCCCUGAUCUAAGCAGGAAAAGAACCAGCACUGCACAAGUAUUUUUCAUUGGUGCAAAAUUCAAUGACAGUGAGAGACAUGCUCGUGAAGCUCCAGUGGUUCAAAGUCUCUCUCAAUUGCUUUAUUCAUUAUUAAGUAGCAAACCAGAAGUUGAAGCACAAAAGAAAAUCCAUGUAUGAUGCUGCUGAAGAGGGGAUUACCACGAGGAAGAGGGUGCAUAUCUGCUAUUUCUGCCUCCUCUGCAAAUCUGAAUUAGAAAAUGAGAACAGUGUCUAUCCUGUGACAGUCAUAAGAGCUCAAAAAGUAGAUUGUUAGCAGCCAGGCUGUGUGGUAGGAAAUUUUUGUAGAGUCCUGCUGUGUCAGUGAGCUAUCCCUAGGCAAAAGGAAGCGUUCCUCUAUGCCUGUGGAAUGGAAGUAGUUUUGUGCAAAAGCUCCACAGAAAUAAAGCCAAAUAGCAGUAUUUAAUAAACGAGAAAACGAUACUGCCAUAUAGAACUUUGGAAUUUGUGUAUGCUUUGGGGGCCAUCUCUUAGGAUAAUUCUGAGUUCUGUCUAUCAGUGGUAUUAAAUGACUGGUGUUAAGAGUUUAAGAGUAGCAUGUUUCUUGAGAAACGAAUUCCUGUGUAUCUUCAGUAUGUGCUGCAGACUUCAGCCAUCCUCUUUUUCACCUGCUUUCCUAUCUGAGGAAGGGGCUUAUUUUCUGACAUAGUAGGAAGUCAGUACUACUUUGCUGUAUUGCAGCUGCUGUUAGGAGGGCAGCUGGCUUAAUUCUGUGGUUGAAGAGCACUGAAGUGUUUUGAAUGGCUGAAAACACAGACUGAUUUUCUGUCAUCAUGAAAAAGAGCUGCCUGUUGCAUUAUGGACACUCUUCAGAACAUUAUCUGCUCAAAGACCUACCCAACAAACACAGUAUUAUUGGAACUAACAGCUUUUAAGUGAUCUUUCCUGACUAGCAUAAAAGGGUUUCUUUUAAAAGUGUGCAGUGAAAUUUGCCCUAAGUAAGCCUUUCCAGGACUAAUAGAAUCUUAGAAACAUAAUGACGUACAAAUCUAGGAAUGAAAUUGUCUUUAGUGAAAAAUUUUUUGGCCCAAAACACAGAUAUUUUCUGUUAGAGGGCUUUGUUGUAGACUCUAAUUUCUGACUCCCGAGGAAUUACUCUCAAAGACAAGCUGCUGAUGAGUCGUACAACUGUGAUCUGUAAAUGUGCCCAGUGUUUUGCAGAAGAGUGUACUGCAAAUUGAUAAAUAAAUAAGCCAUAAAUUCAGCUGGGCCAAGCUAAAUUGCUGCUCUAGCAGGCAGCAUUUGUGUUAGAUCACAGCACAGGGAUGCUUAAUUUGUUUAAGAAUCGUCUUCCUGUGACACACCAUUUCUUUUUACUGUGGUGUACUGCUCAAUGUUAGAUUAUAAUAAGCUUGAUCUCAGAGUGGAAUGCUUCACUCAACUGAGGAAAACAACAUCUUUAUUACUUAAUAUAUUCUGUUUACCUCAUUUCUGUAUAAAAAUGUGAGCUCCAUAAUGUUCUAUGUGAACUGAAUAUGAUUUACCUAUGCUUUAAAACAGGACAAAAAUAAAAUACAAAUUCUUUCUUACUUAAGUAACGUCUUGUCUUGAUUGAGUAAAAUGCAUAUUAAUACCAUGGACAAUAGUGUAGGUUUUAUCCUUAGCAAGUUUGCAAAUAGCAUAAAAAUGGAGGGAAUGGCUGACUCUUUAGGUGGGUGCAUGGUUGUGCAGAGUGGCUAUGGCAGACUGGAGAGGUGAGCUGACAAAAAUAUCACGAGGUACAAGGAGAUGUGCACAGUCCGGUGCCUGAGAAGAAAAAGCCCCAGGUACCAGAAUAUGUUGAAGACCAUCUAACUGUUGCUGAGCUUGGCAGAAUCUCAGAAUCACAGGAGUUGGAGAUCAUCCAGUCCAACCCCUCUGCUAAAGCAGGUUCUCUACAGUAGGUUACACAGGGAAGUGGCCAGGCAGGUUUUGACUAUCUGCAGAGAAAUAAACUCCACAAUCUCUGUUCAGCUUGCUUCAGUUCUCUGUCACCCUCACA